CUGAGUUCAUUAUGUUAUACUGCAGUAGAGAAAAAUAGUUGCCCUCCAGUAGGGGACUUUGUAUUGCAUGGCAACACUUCAUUGUUUAUUGAAGGGAUGUUAACUGAAAAUUUACUGACUGAAUAGUGAACAGUACAGACCUUGAUCAGCCUGCAAGGAUGUGUAGGCUGAUCUGGGUCUGCACUAGCUGCAAAGGCACUAUCACUUGCUGCCAGCAGGCUAAAGGAACUGUGAUGACACUGAGGAAAUAUUCUACAAUCUUCACCAUGGUUACCAUUGAAUAGGGAUUCUCACAUAGCAAUUGCUGUACAGUGUAAUGCCAGCAUGUAUGUUUUUUUAAGCAAACGACAGUGUAUCAAGGCAGAAGCUGUGCAUCUGGACAGGAUGAGAGUGGUUGUUUUCCAAUGGCUGUAAGCACUGAAAUCAACUGGCCUUGUGCGGAAGACAUCUAUGAAUCGAUCAACCAGAUGUAUACCUCUAAUUUAGAGAUGAGAGUGGUUGUUUUCCAAUGGCUGUAAGCAUGAAAUUAACUGGCCUUGUGCGGAAGACAUCUAUGAACCGAUCAACCAGAUGUAUACCUCUAAUUUAGAGCAGAGAGCAGAGACUUUCAUUAUUUCCAUGCACGGGAAACUGAAAUGAUGAAGGUCCUUGUGUAGAGAUCUAGACACUUUGUUCCCAAGGUGAUGAGAAAUGGUGUGAAGUGUUGUGUAUGUCUUCUGCCUUCACUCUACUAAACCACUACUGCAUGGAUCUUCAGUAUCUUCAAUUAGUACUGGAACUGUGAUGAACUGAGGAAGUAUUCUACAAUCUUCACUAUGGUUACAGUUGAAUAGGGAUUCCCACAUAGCAAUUGCUGUACAGUGUAAUGCCAGCAUGUAUGUUUUUCUAAGCAAGCAACAGUGUGUCAAGGUGGAAGCUGUGCAUCUG
rnacentral:lncRNA from 1 species